GUCAUUUUUGUAACGUCACUUGUAUUUUGAUGUGCCACAUUGUUAUGAAAGUGCAUUUAUCCUCAGAAAAGAAGAGGAGCAUAGUUAAAUAACUUUUCAAUUGUUAAGUUCACUGUGUUUGCAAAAUUCAAGACGCUUUGCUCAUAUCUUAUUCUAUUUUCAGGUGCGGGCGGAAGACGCGGACGUGCUGAUAAUGCCCCCCCCCCCCCCCCCCCCCCCCCCCCCCCCCCCCCCCCCCCCCCCCGAUGGCAGAUGGCUUCUCUACAUGGUAAUGUGGGAACAAGGUCAGACUUGGAAGGAGAUUGCUGACAGUUACCUGAGCUAUGUGCAGUGUCUCGGCCGUCGGUCUCAGAAGAUCACUGUGAUCUCCGAUGGCAAUAACAGCUCGCCAAAAGAUCACGACCACAUCCGGCGUACCAAGAACUCCUGCUCUGAUCUACAGAUUCGACUGGAUAUGAUAUAUUUGACACCAAAGGCAAAGUUCAUGGAGAACACUCAUAACAAGAGUGAGCUCAUCCAUCUCCUCUCUUCAACAUUCCGGAAAUGUCAGAUCACCGUGGAGCAGUGUGACAAUGAUGAUGACACUUCAAUUGUGAGAGCAGCACUGGCUGCUGCUACAGAUGACUCUGUUGAGGUGCGGGCGGAAGACGCGGACGUGCUGAUAAUGCUGGUACACCAUAGCUCAAGCACCAACCAUCCACUCUUCUUAACCAAAUCGAAGGGCUCUUACGAUGUCAGGAGGAUCCGAGAAGCUCUCUCUGAAAGACCCCCCCCCCCCCCCCCCCCCCCCCCCCCCCCCCCCCCCCCCCCCCCGGUUUCUGCAAUCGGGGGCCACGGGAAAACGACUCUAUUUGACAGGUUUUGUGCAGGGGACAUUGAUGAACAUACGGACAUCUUCCUUGACGUACGGGCUACUAAGGACGUGGUGAUCAGGGCCGGUAUUGCGAUUUUCCAGCACAUUUACCAUGAACCAGGUGCUACUUUGGGUGCAAUUCGAUACAACAUGUUCUCGCGGAAGGUGGCGGCCGGGCUGAUCAAACCAGAGACUCUGCCUCCAAGAGAGGGUGCAGCUGCACAGCAUUCUCUCCGUGCCUAUCUCCAAACCCGGGACUGGAUGCUGCUGCAGAGCAUGUCUUUGGACCCCAGUGACUAUGAUGGAUCCCCCCCCCCCCCCCCCCCCCCCCCCCCCCCCCCCCCCCCCCCCCCCCCCCCCCCCCCCCCCCCCGUUCACGACUUGCAAUUGUGCUGGAGAUUGCAGCAACCGGCAGUGCAACUGCAAGUAGAAUGGUGUCAAGUGUAUCUCAGCAUGCGGAAGUUGUAAAGGCAUUACAUGUAUGAACUGUAUCCCUGAUGAUGUAGAGUCUGGAGAAGACUCAGACAUCAACUCCUAAGGUAUUUGACAUUGUGGAGCAGCAACGAUUUAAACCCUUACACGAAAGCGGAUGAACCGAUGGUAAACCGAUUCCGGAUUCCCAGUAACGGUUAUUACAAUUUAUGUUACAAUAAGGGAAAACAGUAAAGGUCAGUGACCUUUCAUAAUUUUAAUUUUAUAAAUACCAGAAUGUUUUACUUUUGAUACAUUAAGGCUGCAUAUCUUGGGCAGUCUGCUGGAAACUUUCAGAAAAACGUAACGAAGGGGUAUCUACCGAGAAGACGAAUUGUAGACCAGAAAAGUUAAUAUUUACCCAAAAAAUUGUUUUUUUUGCUCAAAAUUGUGUAAACCUUUUAACAUAUUGAUUUGUUUUCGGUAUCACCAUGUCAGAUAUGUUCUUAGCUUUAAAAUGAGCCUACUUUGAAUAAUUUAGAUGCUUCUUGUCGGAUACUGUGACCCAGAAUGGAAAUAUAAGAAAACCCCCCCCCCCC
rnacentral:lncRNA from 1 species